rnacentral:tRNA from 1 species
GUCCCCGUCGUCCAGUGGUCAGGACAUCGCCCUUUCACGGCGGUAACACGGGUUCGAAUCCCGUCGGGGACGCCA